ACCGAAAUAGCUCAGUUGGAAGAUCGUUGGACUUUAGACCGAAAAGUCCCCUGGUUGAAUCCCGGGUUCCGGCA
rnacentral:tRNA from 1 species